rnacentral:rRNA from 1 species
UAUUUAUUAGAUAACAAACCAAUAUUCCUUGUGUCUAUUGUGAUGACUCAUAAUAACUGAUCGAAUCGCAUGGGCCUUGCCCGCGAUACAUCAUUCAAGUUUCUGCCCCAUCAGCUUUCGAUGGUAGUGUAUUGGACUACCAUGGCUUUAACGGGUAACGGAGGAUUAGGGUUCGAUUCCGGAGAGGGAGCCUGAGAAACGGCUACCACAUCUAAGGAAGGCAGCAGGCGCGUAAAUUACCCAAUCCUAAUUCAGGGAGGUAGUGACAAGAAAUAACGGACUGAGGCUCUGCUUCAGGAUUGCAAUGAGUUGAAUUUAAACCCCUUGACGAGGAUCAAUUGGAGGGCAAGUCUGGUGCCAGCAGCCGCGGUAAUUCCAGCUCCAAUAGCAUAUAUUAAAGUUGUUGCAGUUAAAAAGCUCGUAGUUGGAUUUCUGGGAGAGGACUUUUGUCCGCUGAUGCGUGUGCAAUCGUCCUCUUCCAUCCUUCUGUUAACGUUUCUUGGUAUUCAGUUACUGGUUUCGGGCUCAGAUAUUUUACCUUGAGAAAAUUAGAGUGUUUCAGGCAGGCUUGCGCCG